CAGUCGCCACGGUAAUACGUAGGUGGCAAGCGUUGUCCGGAAUUAUUGGGCGUAAAGGGCUCGCAGGCGGUUUCUUAAGUCUGAUGUGAAAGCCCCCGGCUCAACCGGGGAGGGUCAUUGGAAACUGGGAAACUUGAGUGCAGAAGAGGAGAGUGGAAUUCCACGUGUAGCGGUGAAAUGCGUAGAGAUGUGGAGGAACACCAGUGGCGAAGGCGACUCUCUGGUCUGUAACUGACGCUGAGGAGCGAAAGCGUGGGGAGCAAACAGGAUUAGAUACCCCAGUAGUCCCUGUCUCUUAUAC
rnacentral:rRNA from 1 species